CCAAAUCAUCUGAUUCUAUUUAUUCUCAUCGAAAAUUAGACAUCCCAGUGCGAAUGUGUUCUUACACAUGAAGAUCAAGAGCUUAUUACGGCAUCCAAGCUCGGUAAUGCAACAACUGUAACGAAGCUAAUUGCCAAAGGUAUAGUAUAUGGCUGACAAAAGAUACAC